rnacentral:tRNA from 1 species
ACUCUAGUAGCUUAACCCAUAAAGCAUUGGUCUUGUAAACCAAAGACUGAAGACUACAAUCUUCCUAGAGUA